rnacentral:rRNA from 1 species
UACGGGGGGGGCAAGCGUUGUUCGGAAUUACUGGGCGUAAAGGGCUCGUAGGUGGCCAACUAAGUCAGACGUGAAAUCCCUCGGCUUAACCGGGGAACUGCGUCUGAUACUGGAUGGCUUGAGUUUGGGAGAGGGACGCGGAAUUCCAGGUGUAGCGGUGAAAUGCGUAGAUAUCGAGAGGAACACCUGCGGCGAAGGCGGGUUGCUGGGCUGACACUGACGCUGAUGCGCGAAAGCGUGGGGAGCAAACAGG